UGUUCCAUUGAUCCCUGAAGAUUACUUGUUGAUGAUGACAAUGAUGCAAGAAUGGUAGGAGUUGGAAAAGAACAACAGAUGUGUAUGAAACAACCUCUUGAUUGUCAAUAUGUUAGAACCUGCAAAAGAGAAUCCAACUGAAGCAGGAACAAAGAAAUUCUAUGCUUGAGAUUCGUGAAAAGAUAUCAGAAAGAAAAGAAUUCUUGAAAAGAAAUUGGAAAGAAAA
rnacentral:misc_RNA from 1 species